UACAGAGGGUGCAAGCGUUAAUCGGAAUUACUGGGCGUAAAGGGUGCGUAGGUGGUUGAAUAAGUUAGGUGUGAAAGCCCUUGGCUUAACCGAGGAAGUGCAUCCGAAACUGGCGAGCUAGAGUACUAAAGAGGAUCGCGGAAUUCCCGGUGUAGAGGUGAAAUUCGUAGAUAUCGGGAGGAACACCGGUGGCGAAGGCGGCGAUCUGGGUAGAUACUGACGCUGAGGUGCGAAAGCGUGGGGAGCAAACAGG
rnacentral:rRNA from 1 species